UAGAGUUUGAUCCUGGCUCAGAGUGAACGCUGGCGGUAGGCCUAACACAUGCAAGUCGAACGGCAGCACAGGAGAGCUUGCUCUCUGGGUGGCGAGUGGCGGACGGGUGAGGAAUACAUCGGAAUCUACUUUUUCGUGGGGGAUAACGUAGGGAAACUUACGCUAAUACCGCAUACGACCUACGGGUGAAAGCAGGGGAUCUUCGGACCUUGCGCGAUUGAAUGAGCCGAUGUCGGAUUAGCUAGUUGGCGGGGUAAAGGCCCACCAAGGCGACGAUCCGUAGCUGGUCUGAGAGGAUGAUCAGCCACACUGGAACUGAGACACGGUCCAGACUCCUACGGGAGGCAGCAGUGGGGAAUAUUGGACAAUGGGCGCAAGCCUGAUCCAGCCAUACCGCGUGGGUGAAGAAGGCCUUCGGGUUGUAAAGCCCUUUUGUUGGGAAAGAAAUCCAGCUGGCUAAUACCCGGUUGGGAUGACGGUACCCAAAGAAUAAGCACCGGCUAGCUUCGUGCCAGCAGCCGCGGUAA
rnacentral:rRNA from 1 species